rnacentral:rRNA from 1 species
AGAAGCAGCCAUACAUUCAAAGAGUGCGUAAUAGCUCACUAGUCGAGAGGUCCUGCGCCGAAAAUGUCCGGGGCUAAAACACACUGCCGAAGCUUUGGAAUUGAGAAUUCAAUUGGUAGAGGAGCAUUCUUAAAGGGACGAAGCAGUACCGAAAGGAGCUGUGGACUUUUAAGAAGAGAGAAUGCCGGAAUGAGUAGCGAGAGGAAGGUGAGAAUCCUUCCGGCCGAAUAUCUAAGGUUUCCAGAGUAAAGCUGAUCUGCUCUGGGUAAGUCGGGGCCUAAGGCGAGGUCGAAAGACGUAGUCGAUGGAUAACAGGUUGAAAUUCCUGUACUAUCCUGUAACAGAACUGUGGGGACACAGGCAGAGAGCGUGAGCCGGGAAUGGAAAGACCGGUACAAGCGAGGUAGGAGAAGAGUUGGCAAAUCCGCUCUUCAAUCUGAAGACGUGAUGUGGACUGAAAAUAAGUAGGGAAGCACGUGAGCUGACUGUCAAGAAAAGCCGCUAUUGUUUGCAGGAUACCCGUACCGUAAACCGACACAGGUGGAUGAGGAGAGAAUCCUAAGGCCGACGGGAGAAGCAUUGUUAAGGAACUCGGCAAAAUGACUCCGUAACUUCGGGAGAAGGAGUGCCAGUGAGAGCUGGCCGCAGAGAAUUGGCCCAAGCAACUGUUUAGCAAAAACACAGGUCUAUGCAAAACCGAAAGGUGAGGUAUAUGGGCUGACGCCUGCCCGGUGCUGGAAGGUUAAGGGGAGAGGUUAGCGCAAGCGAAGCUUUGAACUUAAGCCCCAGUAAACGGCGGCCGUAACUAUAACGGUCCUAAGGUAGCGAAAUUCCUUGUCGGGUAAGUUCCGACCCGCACGAAAGGCGUAAUGAUUUGGGCACUGUCUCAACAAUGCACCCGGUGAAAUUGAAAUACCAGUGAAGAUGCUGGUUACCUGCGCCAGGACGGAAAGACCCCAUGGAGCUUUACUCCAGCUUGAUACUGGGAUUCGGUAUUGCAUGUACAGGAUAGGUGGGAGGCUAGGAAGUGAUAACGCCAGUUGUCACGGAGCCGCUGUUGGGAUACCACCCUUGCAGUAUUGGAUUUCUAACCAGCGACCAUGAACUGGUCGGGGGACAAUGUCAGGUGGGGAGUUUGACUGGGGCGGUCGCCUCCGAAAGGGUAUCGGAGGCGCUCAAAGGU